UUGGUUAAGUUAGAAAGGGCGCACGGUGGAUGCCUUGGCACUAGGAGCCGAAGAAGGACGGGACUAACACCGAUAUGCUUUGGGGAGCUGUACGUAAGCGUUGAUCCAGAGAUUUCCGAAUGGGGGAACCCACUAUCUUUAGUCGGAUAGUAUCCUUACGUGAAUACAUAGCGUGAGGAAGGCAGACCCAGGGAACUGAAACAUCUAAGUACCUGGAGGAAGAGAAAGAAAAAUCGAUUUCCUGAGUAGCGGCGAGCGAAACGGAAAAAGCCCAAACCAAGAAGCUUGCUUCUUGGGGUUGUAGGACACUCUAUACGGAGUUACAAAAGAAAGUUAUAAAUGAAGCGGUCUGGAAAGGCCCGCCAAAGACGGUAACAGCCCGGUAGUUGAAAUAGCUUUCCCUCCAGAGUGGAUCCUGAGUACGGCGGAACACGUGAAAUUCCGUCGGAAUCCGGGAGGACCAUCUCCCAAGGCUAAAUACUCCCUAGUGACCGAUAGUGAACCAGUACCGUGAGGGAAAGGUGAAAAGCACCCCGGAAGGGGAGUGAAACAGUUCCUGAAACCGUGUGCCUACAAGUAGUUAGAGCCCGUUAAUGGGUGAUAGCGUGCCUUUUGUAGAAUGAACCGGCGAGUUACGAUUUGUUGCAAGGUUAAGCGGAAAAAGCGGAGCCGUAGCGAAAGCGAGUCUGAAUAGGGCGAAUAAGUAACAGGUCGUAGACCCGAAACCAGGUGAUCUACCCAUGUCCAGGAUGAAGGUAAGGUAAUACUUACUGGAGGUCCGAACCCACGCACGUUGAAAAGUGCGGGGAUGAGGUGUGGGUAGCGGAGAAAUUCCAAUCGAACUUGGAGAUAGCUGGUUCUCUCCGAAAUAGCUUUAGGGCUAGCCUCGAGGUAAAGAGUCAUGGAGGUAGAGCACUGUUUGGACUAGGGGCCCUUCUCGGGUUACCGAAUUCAGAUAAACUCCGAAUGCCAUGUACUUAUACUCGGGAGUCAGACUGCGAGUGAUAAGAUCCGUAGUCGAAAGGGAAACAGCCCAGACCACCAGUUAAGGUCCCCAAAUAUAUGUUAAGUGGAAAAGGAUGUGGGGUUGCUUAGACAACCAGGAUGUUGGCUUAGAAGCAGCCACCAUUGAAAGAGUGCGUAAUAGCUCACUGGUCGAGUGACCCCGCGCCGAAAAUGUACCGGGGCUAAACAUAUUACCGAAACUGUGGAUGAACCUCUUAUAGAGGUUCGUGGUAGGAGAGCGUUCUAAGGGCGGUGAAGUCAGACCGGAAGGACUGGUGGAGCGCUUAGAAGUGAGAAUGCCGGUAUGAGUAGCGAAAGAAGGGUGAGAAUCCCUUCCACCGAAUAUCUAAGGUUUCCUGAGGAAGGCUCGUCCGCUCAGGGUUAGUCGGGACCUAAGCCGAGGCCGAUAGGCGUAGGCGAUGGACAACAGGUAGAGAUUCCUGUACCAGUGCUAAUUGUUUAACCGAUGGGGUGACACAGAAGGAUAGGGAAUCGCACGAAUGGAAAUGUGCGUCCAAGCAGU
rnacentral:rRNA from 1 species